UUGUGCUAAGGUGCAUCUAGUGCAGAUAGUGAAGUAGACUAGCACCUACUGCCCUAAGUGCUCCUUC
rnacentral:pre_miRNA from 1 species